rnacentral:rRNA from 1 species
GACGAACGCUGGCGGCGUGCUUAACACAUGCAAGUCGAACGAAAAUACCAAGCUUGCUUGGUUGAUUAGUGGCGAACGGGUGAGUAACACGUGAGUAACCUGCCCCUUACUUUCCUGGAUAACUGCUCGAAAGGGUAGCUAAUACGGGAUAUUCUGACCAGCCUGCAUGGGUUGGUUUGGAAAGGUUGUUUUUCUGGUAAGGGAUGGGCUCGCGGCCUAUCAGCUUGUUGGUGGGGUGAUGGCCUACCAAGGCUUUGACGGGUAGCCGGCCUGAGAGGGUGGACGGUCACACUGGGACUGAGAUACGGCCCAGACUCCUACGGGAGGCAGCAGUGGGGAAUAUUGCACAAUGGGCGCAAGCCUGAUGCAGCGACGCCGCGUGAGGGAUGAAGGCCUUCGGGUUGUAAACCUCUUUCGUCAGGGAACAAGGCACUGCUGUUUUGGUGGUGUUGAGGGUACCUGGAUAAGAAACGCCGGCUAACUACGU